rnacentral:rRNA from 1 species
CCUACGGGAGGCAGCAGUAGGGAAUAUUGCUCAAUGGGGGAAACCCCGAAGCAGCAACGCCGCGUGGAGGAUGAAGGUUUUCGGAUUGUUAACUCCUUUUGUUAGAGAAGAUAAUGACGGUAUCUAACGAAUAAGCACCGGCUAACUCCGUGCCAGCAGCCGCUGUAAUACGGAGGGUGCAAGCGUUACUCGGAAUCACUGGGCGUAAAGAGCGCGUAGGUGGGAUAGCAAGUCAGAUGUGAAAUCCUAUGGCUUAACCAUAGAACUGCAUUUGAAACUGUUAUUCUAGAGUAUGGGAGAGGUAGGUGGAAUUCUUGGUGUAGGGGUAAAAUCCGUAGAGAUCAAGAGGAAUACUCAUUGCGAAGGCGACCUGCUAGAACAUAACUGACGCUGAUGCGCGAAAGCGUGGGGAGCAAACAGGAUUAGAUACCCCUGUAGUC